rnacentral:rRNA from 1 species
CCUACGGGAGGCAGCAGUGGGGAAGUAUUGCACAAUGGGCGCAAGCCUGAUGCAGCAACGCCGCGUGAGGGACGACGGCCUUCGGGUUGUAAACCUCUUUUAGUAGGGAAGAAGCGAAAGUGACGGUACCUGCAGAAAAAGCACCGGCUAACUACGUGCCAGCAGCCGCGGUAAUACGUAGGGUGCAAGCGUUAUCCGGAAUUAUUGGGCGUAAAGAGCUCGUAGGCGGUUUGUCGCGUCUGCUGUGAAAACUGGAGGCUCAACCUCCAGCCUGCAGUGGGUACGGGCAAACUAGAGUGCGGUAGGGGAGAUUGGAAUUCCUGGUGUAGCGGUGGAAUGCGCAGAUAUCAGGAGGAACACCGAUGGCGAAGGCAGAUCUCUGGGCCGUAAACUGACGCUGAGGAGCGAAAGCAUGGGGAGCGAACAGGAUUAGAUACCCUGGUAGUCCAUGCCGUAAACGUUGGGCGCUAGAUGUGGGGAACCCAUCCACGGUUUCCGUGUCGCNGCUACGCAUAGUCGCCCGCCGUCGGCGGCGGCCGCGACGACGAACUACGAACGAAGUAGACGCGNGAGAGNGCGACGACGACGACGAGGGAGGAGG